UACGGGGGGGGCAAGCGUUGUUCGGAAUUACUGGGCGUAAAGGGCUCGUAGGUGGCCAACUAAGUCAGACGUGAAAUCCCUCGGCUUAACCGGGGAACUGCGUCUGAUACUGGAUGGCUUGAGAUUGGGAGAGGGAUGCGGAAUUCCAGGUGUAGCGGUGAAAUGCGUAGAUAUCAGGAGGAACACCGGUGGCGAAGGCGGUUCUCUGGGCAUUACCUGACGCUGAGGAGCGAAAGUGUGGGGAGCGAACGGG
rnacentral:rRNA from 1 species